rnacentral:rRNA from 1 species
CAUGCAAGUCGAACGAUGAAGCCCUUCGGGGUGGAUUAGUGGCGAACGGGUGAGUAACACGUGGGCAAUCUGCCCUUCACUCUGGGACAAGCCCUGGAAACGGGGUCUAAUACCGGAUAACACUCGCCGAGGCAUCUCGGUGGGUUGAAAGCUCCGGCGGUGAAGGAUGAGCCCGCGGCCUAUCAGCUUGUUGGUGAGGUAGAAGCUCACCAAGGCGACGACGGGUAGCCGGCCUGAGAGGGCGACCGGCCACACUGGGACUGAGACACGGCCCAGACUCCUACGGGAGGCAGCAGUGGGGAAUAUUGCACAAUGGGCGAAAGCCUGAUGCAGCGACGCCGCGUGAGGGAUGACGGCCUUCGGGUUGUAAACCUCUUUCAGCAGGGAAGAAGCGAAAGUGACGGUACCUGCAGAAGAAGCGCCGGCUAACUACGUGCCAGCAGCCGCGGUAAUACGUAGGGCGCAAGCGUUGUCCGGAAUUAUUGGGCGUAAAGAGCUCGUAGGCGGUCUGUCACGUCGGAUGUGAAAGCCCGGGGCUUAACCCCGGGUCUGCAUUCGAUACGGGCAGACUAGAGUGUGGUAGGGGAGAUCGGAAUUCCUGGUGUAGCGGUGAAAUGCGCAGAUAUCAGGAGGAACACCGGUGGCGAAGGCGGAUCUCUGGGCCAUUACUGACGCUGAGGAGCGAAAGCGUGGGGAGCGAACAGGAUUAGAUACCCUGGUAGUCCACGCCGUAAACGGUGGGAACUAGGUGUUGGCGACAUUCCACGUCGUCGGUGCCGCAGCUAACGCAUUAAGUUCCCCGCCUGGGGAGUACGGCCGCAAGGCUAAAACUCAAAGGAAUUGACGGGGGCCCGCACAAGCAGCGGAGCAUGUGGCUUAAUUCGACGCAACGCGAAGAACCUUACCAAGGCUUGACAUCGCCCGGAAAGCAUCAGAGAUGGUGCCCCCCUUGUGGUCGGGUGACAGGUGGUGCAUGGCUGUCGUCAGCUCGUGUCGUGAGAUGUUGGGUUAAGUCCCGCAACGAGCGCAACCCUUGUUCUGUGUUGCCAGCAUGCCCUUCGGGGUGAUGGGGACUCACAGGAGACUGCCGGGGUCAACUCGGAGGAAGGUGGGGACGACGUCAAGUCAUCAUGCCCCUUAUGUCUUGGGCUGCACACGUGCUACAAUGGCAGGUACAAUGAGCUGCGAUGUCGCAAGGCGGAGCGAAUCUCAAAAAGCCUGUCUCAGUUCGGAUUGGGGUCUGCAACUCGACCCCAUGAAGUCGGAGUUGCUAGUAAUCGCAGAUCAGCAUUGCUGCGGUGAAUACGUUCCCGGGCCUUGUACACACCGCCCGUCACGUCACGAAAGUCGGUAACACCCGAAGCCGGUGGCCCAACCCCCUUGUGGGGAGGGAGCUGUCGAAGGUGGGACUGGCGAUUGGGACGAAGUCGUA